UUUGAUAUUGAGUGUCUGUACCGCAUGUACAGGAUAGGUAGGAGCCGUAGAAAUCGGAACGCUAGUUUCGAUGGAGGCGCUGGUGGGAUACUACCCCUGCGUUAUGGCCACUCUAACCCGCACCACUAAUCGUGGUGGGAGACAGUGUCAGAUGGGCAGUUUGACUGGGGCGGUCGCCUCCUAAAAGGUAACGGAGGCGCCCAAAGGUUCCCUCAGAAUGGUUGGAAAUCAUUCGAAGAGUGUAAAGGCAGAAGGGAGCUUGACUGCGAGACCAACAAGUCGAGCAGGGACGAAAGUCGGGCUUAGUGAUCCGGUGGUUCCGCAUGGAAGGGCCAUCGCUCAAC
rnacentral:rRNA from 1 species